CCCGGACUGAUUGAUUAGAGACACAAGGUAUCCAUUAUCUACUGUUUAACACUACCCGGACUGAUUGAUUAGAGAGACGCAAGGUAUCCAUUAUCUACUGUUUAACACUACCCGGACUGAUUGAUUAGAGAGACGCAAGGUAUCCAUUAUCUACUGUUUAACACUACCCGGACUGAUUGAUUAGAGAGACGCAAGGUAUCCAUUAUCUACUGUUUAACACUACCCGGACUGAUUGAUUAGAGAGACGCAAGGUAUCCAUUAUCUACUGUUUAACACUACCCGGACUGAUUGAUUAGAGACACAAGGUAUCCAUUAUCUACUGUUUAACACUACCCGGACUGAUUGAUUAGAGAGACGCAAGGUAUCCAUUAUCUACUGUUUAACACUACCCGGACUGAUUGAUUAGAGACACAAGGUAUCCAUUAUCUACUGUUUAACACUACCCGGACUGAUUGAUUAGAGAGACGCAAGGUAUCCAUUAUCUACUGUUUAACACUACCCGGACUGAUUGAUUAGAGAGACGCAAGGUAUCCAUUAUCUACUGUUUAACACUACCCGGACUGAUUGAUUAGAGAGACGCAAGGUAUCCAUUAUCUACUGUUUAACAC